ACAAAGGUACGGACUACGGACAGUACGGAGUACGGACUAGUGACUUCGGUCUACGGAAUCAGUCAUCAUCAUUCAUCACUCAUCACUUGCAGUUCGCUUCGACGCUUGUUUUCGGGUUUUCUGCGUGCUCGCCAACGCUCAAUACAAAAUUAUUGCAUUUCAGUAUAAAUGCACUUGUGUCACUUGUUGCAGUCCGGCCGUCCGGGUAUUUAAGCCGAAAUAAUGUCGUGUCAUGUGUAUCGAUAUUAAAAUUUAAAAAAUUCAAAACGUGUUUAUAAACGCACCUACCGUAAUAUAAUUCGCGCGCGAUGUGGAAAUGUGUAUUCAAUAUUUGAGUACCUACUACCUAUAUCAACAACAUUUGUGGAAAAGAAAGAAGCGGUGGAAAUGGAGCUUACAGAAACGACGAGAAAAGAAAAUAUAAAGGAAGUUUUGGUCGGCUAAAAAAUAUUGCAGGUACAUUCACGGCGUUGCAAUGAACUUCCUCAGACAAAAACACGACAGCAAAUGUAGACAAACAACAAAAACAAAAAGUGCACACUGACGUAGUAUAUAGACAAAGAUGACAUGCAAAUAUAAUGAACCGAUGGAGACAAUACGUAAAGACGAGAAAAAUCAUAUACACCAUGUUGGUGGUAAUAAUAAAUAAUUAAAAAAUGUUCAUUUAAUUUAUAUUUUCCAAUUUUUUUUUAAAUAUUUUAUUAUACUACAGAAAAUAUUAUAAGAAAUUACAGCAGAUAAAAUCACGAGAACAACUACAACAGUUAAAUAGGUAAAAAACUGGUUGCACCCCCAUCCAUGUUUCCAUUGCUACUUCAAAAAUUGAAACUGUGCUUUUGAAAUAAAAAAUAAGUUGGAAAUGGGUAAAAUGAAAACACAAAAGAGAAUUUUUGGCGUAGGUCUACAUUGAAUUUUCAUUCCAAUACAUUAAUUUGGUACUACUAAUUUUUUAGAUUCUGAGCGAAGCGAUGAAUGUAUUGAUUUUACAAUGAUGUGUGUUUUUUUUUAUUUUUGUGUCUGUCAUCACCUUUUAGGACAGUAAAAGUGCUUGGAUUUUCUUCAACAGUAACUUUUCUGAUAGGAAAGUGAAUCUAGUUGGUACUUUGGGCGGUCAAAAGUAAAAAUUUCCCAGUAGUUUUUAAAAGCGACGUAAAUAACAAAAGAAAAAUUAAGAAAAAACGGGAUUUUUUACGCAAAAUCUGUUUUCGAGAAAAUCGAUUUUGGUUUUUGGUGUAACUCUAAAACAAAUAACCGUGGGACAUGAAAUUUUGACUGAAUGUUUAUAAUUGCAUUUCCUAUACACCAUAACAUUUUCCAAAUAUUUUGAUUUAUUUUGAGCUGUUUACGGACAUUGUCAAUUUCCAUUUCUUUUGUUUUGUUUUCUAUAAAUAUCAAUAAAAUUUUAUGUGUUGAGUAAUAAAGCUUGAAAAUUUUAUAGAAGGCUCCUAGGUUAUUGUUUCAAAGGCAGAAGAAAAAAAUUAAAAAUCCUUA